CGGACGGGUGAGUAACACGUGGAUAACCUACCUAUAAGACUGGGAUAACUUCGGGAAACCGGAGCUAAUACCGGAUAAUAUAUUGAACCGCAUGGUUCAAUGGUGAAAGACGGUUUUGCUGUCACUUAUAGAUGGAUCCGCGCCGCAUUAGCUAGUUGGUAAGGUAACGGCUUACCAAGGCAACGAUGCGUAGCCGACCUGAGGAGGGUGAUCGGCCACACUGGAACUGAGACACGGUCCAGACUCCUACGGGAGGCAGCAGCG
rnacentral:rRNA from 1 species